rnacentral:rRNA from 1 species
GCUCAACGGAUAAAAGGUACUCCGGGGAUAACAGGCUGAUACCGCCCAAGAGUUCACAUCGACGGCGGUGUUUGGCACCUCGAUGUCGGCUCAUCACAUCCUGGGGCUGAAGCCGGUCCCAAGGGUAUGGCUGUUCGCCAUUUAAAGUGGUACGCGAGCUGGGUUUAGAACGUCGUGAGACAGUUCGGUCCCUAUCUGCCGUGGACGUUGGAAAAUUGAGAAGAGCUGCUCCUAGUACGAGAGGACCGGAGUGGACGAACCCCUGGUGUUCGGGUUGUGUCGCCAGACGCAUUGCCCGGUAGCUACGUUCGGACAGGAUAACCGCUGAAAGCAUCUAAGCGGGAAGCCCCCUUCAAGAUAAGUUUUCCCUGGGAAUUUAAUUCCCCUAAAGAGCCGUUAAAGACUAUGACGUUGAUAGGCUGGGUGUGUAAGUGCGGUAACGUAUUGAGCUAACCAGUACUAAUUGCUCGUGAGGCUUAACUAUAUAACGCCCAAG